UGAAGGCUAGGAGGUCCAAGAUCAAAAUACUGGCAGAUUCAGUGUCUGAGAGUCCUGGAGGCUUGGAAUCAAACUGCCUUCCUAUAUGGAGGAUUUACAUUUGCUUUUGUGAAAGAGCCUAGGAUCAUUUCAACCCAAAUCACAGCUUGAGCUUCCCUAAUCAAUGAAGAGGACAUGCUGAAGGCUUCAAAGCAAUUUUUAGUGUUGGAAUGUCAGAAAAGUAAAUGGAUGCUGGCAAUCAGAUAAGAUCCCAUGAGGACAGCCCUUUGAACCUGUUUGGUAAAGCAUCAGAACUACAAAAUGAUGGGCAUUGCAAGCAGCAUCUGCAGAGUGGAUUACAGCCCUUGAAAUAAAAAGAAAUAAAAAUAAAUGGAAUCCAGCAACGUCCUUAUGGAGAAUAGGCCUCAGGCACUACUCUGAAAGAUCUUACCUUUUUGUUCUUUUUAAACGGAUGACACACCCUCAUCAGAAAUAUUCCUCCUUGAGCAAAGAGGAUAUCCAAUAUCGGUGACUUCCCAUUUUCUUUUUCUUGGUUCAUUUACCCUGAAUCCCCAAAACAACAUUUUUUUUUUGCAUAUAUACAUAAAAUCAACGCCACAUAUACAUAAGCACAUAUUUUGCACAUAUACAUAAAAUCAACGACAACUAUAAUAUGUAUUUUUUGAAAUAAUAGCAGUAGUGAUUUAAAAACAUUCAGACUAAACUUAUCACAUGGAAAUUUAGUAAGUUAAUUGGCAGCCUAGA
rnacentral:lncRNA from 1 species